rnacentral:rRNA from 1 species
GAUGAACGCUGGCGGCGUGCCUAAUACAUGCAAGUCGAGCGAACAGGCGAGGAGCUUGCUCCUCUGACGUUAGCGGCGGACGGGUGAGUAACACGUGGAUAACCUACCUAUAAGACUGGGAUAACUUCGGGAAACCGGAGCUAAUACCGGAUAAUAUAUUGAACCGCAUGGUUCAAUAGUGAAAGACGGUUUUGCUGUCACUUAUAGAUGGAUCCGCGCCGCAUUAGCUAGUUGGUAAGGUAACGGCUUACCAAGGCAACGAUGCGUAGCCGACCUGAGAGGGUGAUCGGGCACACUGGAACUGAGACACGGUCCAGACUCCUACGGGAGGCAGCAGUAGGGAAUCUUCCGCAAUGGGCGAAAGCCUGACGGAGCAACGCCGCGGGAGUGAUGAAGGUCUUCGGAUCGUAAAACUCUGUUAUUAGGGAAGAACAAAUGUGUAAGUAACUAUGCACGUCUUGACGGUACCUAAGCAGAAAGCCACGGCUAACUACGUG